rnacentral:rRNA from 1 species
AAGGAAUAUUGGUUCCAUAUGGAGGGAACUCUGAACCAGCCAUGCCGCGUGCAGGAAGACGGCCCUCUGGGUUGUAAACUGCUUUUAUUCGGGGAAUAAACCUAUUUACGUGUAAAUAGCUGAAUGUACCGAAGGAAUAAGGAUCGGCUAACUCCGUGCCAGCAGCCGCGGUAAUACGGAGGAUCCAAGCGUUAUCCGGAUUUAUUGGGUUUAAAGGGUGCGUAGGCGGCUUAUUAAGUCAGGGGUGAAAGACGGUGGCUCAACCAUCGCAGUGCCCUUGAUACUGAUGAGCUUGAAUGGACUAGAGGUAGGCGGAAUGUGACAAGUAGCGGUGAAAUGCAUAGAUAUGUCACAGAACACCGAUUGCGAAGGCAGCUUACUAUGGUCUUAUUGACGCUGAGGCACGAAAGCGUGGGGAUCAAACAGGAUUAGAUAC